AAAACAUUCCUGUCCAACUUCCUCAAAGAGAUUCCUUCCUUGUCCCAGUGAAGCAACAGAUGGGUUUCUCAUCUCACCUUUCUGGAAUACCUGUGGUGUCACCUCUUUGUCCUGUAACAGCUUUAUGGUAAAGACUGAGUAGACCUUGGGCAUUCUGAAACCAGCGGUUUCUCUGUGCUUCGCAGUUGCUAAUUGCUUUCACCCCGCACGCGUGGCCCGAUGCACUCUCUGAGUUACUGAACCUGAGGACCUGCUACAGAUGGGAAAGCUGAGGUGCAGAGGGUUUAAGGAACUCCAUAAUGAAGGAGGUUAUCAUCCAGGAGUUAUACCCAGCUUGUUUUUAAAUCUGCAAAGGGAAGAUAGUGUGAACAAAGCAGUGAUGGCUCUCAGGUUCCUCCCCAGGCACCAGGAGAGCAGUGGGGAUGUUUUGGAUCACCUGAGCACAGGUGGUCCAAAAUUGAUCAUUAUAUAUUAUGGAAGAAUCUGGAGAUGGAGCAUGCUGGAAGAUGUUUUCUGCAUCACACAGAGUUAA
rnacentral:lncRNA from 1 species